UAGCUCAGUUGGUAGAGUGCUUGCCUCAAAUGCAAAAGGUUCUGGGUUCAAUCCCCAG
rnacentral:tRNA from 1 species